CGAGAGAUGGUGUAGCGGGUCUGCACGGCUGUCUGAAGCACAGCAAGUCCUGGUUCAACUCCAGGUCUCUCGACCA
rnacentral:tRNA from 1 species